rnacentral:tRNA from 1 species
GCCCCGGUAGCUCAGCCUGGGAGAGCGCCCGGCUGAAGACCGGGUUGUCGGGGGUUCAAAUCCCACCCGGGGCACCA